GACGAACGCUGGCGGCGUGCUUAACACAUGCAAGUCGAACGGGAGUAUUGAAGAAGCUUGCUUUAGAGAUACUUUAGUGGCGGACGGGUGAGUAACGCGUGAGGAGCUGUCCUAUGCAGGGGGACAACAGCUGGAAACGGCUGCUAAUACCCCAUAAGCCGAGAGGUAAAAGGAUCAAUCCGGCAGAGGAGGUACUCGCGUCCUAUCAGCUAGUAGGUGAGGUAACGGCUCACCUAGGCGAAGACGGGUAGCCGGCCUGAGAGGGCGAACGGCCACACUGGAACUGAGAUACGGUCCAGACUCCUACGGGAGGCAGCAGUGGGGAAUAUUGGGCAAUGGGCGAAAGCCUGACCCAGCCAUGCCGCGUGAAGGAAGACGGCCUUAUGGGUUGUAAACUUCUUUACUACGCGAAUAGAGGUUAGUACGAGAUACUAAUAGGAAGGUAGUGUAGUAAAAAGCACCGGCUAACUCCGUG
rnacentral:rRNA from 1 species